AGCAUCAAUUUGAGGGUUCGGUGAAGAAUUUCAAAGGGAUCACAGCAUCAAAAGAUUAGGAACCACUGCUUAACCACAAUAUCCAUAUUGAUAGCUUAUUCAUCUACAUUUCAUUUAAUAUUCAUAAAAUUCCGCAACCUAUCGGCACAAACCAUUCGUAAAACGAGUAAAAACAACUGAUCAGCACACUUUCAAAAUUAUAUCGCCCACCACACAUGUGUACAGCUUAAGCAAGUAUUUGAGACAUGCAGAUUCUCUCACGAUUCGUAAGAUCGCGCAGCGUAUCUCUCGUCGCGUCGCCGUGAUCCAGUCGGAUGCCCCAUACUCUCGCGAUCUUGGUUGCCUAAGAGCGUGCCUUCAAUAUCUUGUGCAGUUUCCAAACGAGAAAGAAAAAAAAACGCUGAUUCCACCUUCAGUCAAUCGUACCUGCAUUAUCUAAUCGGAUGCUUGGGUGCUCUCACCGGUCAUCAUCUUUUCUCCUGGGUGGAGUUUCUUGUUUGGCACGGCGACCUCGGAAGUUUUUUUACUCGUGUUUUGUGUUAUUAUCUCGUGAUGGUUGAUUUCGCCUCAAUCAAAACCGGGCGCAACGAAUCGAAAUAUGUGUGUCAGACGAGAAUUUCCACGCUGCAGAGCUACAUCAAUGGAUCGUUAACCGUUAGAACUGCUAGAGGCGUCAUUUGAAUGUGUUUUACUAACAGCACGUGGACCAUACAAGUUGUGACCUUUUGAAAAGUUAGUGUGGAACAUACAACUCGUCUCGCGUAACAACGAAAACAGUGACAGGCUAAUCCAAUCCAAAAUGUUUACCGAAUGUGAAUGUCGAGAAGGUCAAUGUUAUUUGUGUACGUUGCGUGUGUCUACUGAAGAAAUUCCUGUUUAUGCAAAACAGCUCACAAUUCGGUGUUAACUUCGGAGAUUGACAACUGAUGCUGGUCGCGAUUCGACGUUGACCAAUAUUUUUUUAAGAAAGUAUCAAUUUGAUGCGAUUGGAGAUCAUCCAUGAUCCAGACUCAAGUCUACAUUGGCAUUUGCACUAGCUCCACGAGCCACAUUAUAGGAGAUUAUUUAAUCCAGCAACGUCAUUCCAAAGGCCACCAAGACAUCGUCUGCGCGCUGUGGCCGUUUUCUAUUAUCAGCCAACAGCCACAACAUACGUACGUAUACGCAGCCGAGAGGAGAAAGUGGCGCGCUCCGUUUUCAAGACCCGACCGACCCGAAGUCAGAGUGCGCAAUUAUAGAACUGCAAUAAUCGUAAAAUGUCGUGCUUUUGCUGUUCUUGCGGUGGCAGCAGUAGUGCGACAAGUGGUGAGAAUGGUUCUCGCUAUCCGUACGGCCCGGACGGAGGGAAUGUAACAG